rnacentral:rRNA from 1 species
GACGAACGCUGGCGGCGUGCUUAACACAUGCAAGUCGAACGGAAAGGCCCUGCUUUUGUGGGGUGCUCGAGUGGCGAACGGGUGAGUAACACGUGAGUAACCUGCCCUUGACUUUGGGAUAACUUCAGGAAACUGGGGCUAAUACCGGAUAGGAGCUCCUGCUGCAUGGUGGGGGUUGGAAAGUUUCGGCGGUUGGGGAUGGACUCGCGGCUUAUCAGCUUGUUGGUGGGGUAGUGGCUUACCAAGGCUUUGACGGGUAGCCGGCCUGAGAGGGUGACCGGCCACAUUGGGACUGAGAUACGGCCCAGACUGCUACGGAAGGCAGCAGUGGGGAAUAUUGCACAAUGGGCGGAAGCCUGAUGCAGCAACGCCGCGUGCGGGAUGACGGCCUUCGGGUUGUAACCCGUUUUCGCCUGUGACGAAGCGUGAGUGACGGUAAUGGGUAAAGAAGCACCGGCUAACUACGUG